UACGGAGGGUGCAAGCGUUAUCCGGAUUCACUGGGUUUAAAGGGCGCGUAGGCGGCUCGGCACGUCCGUUGUGAAAUCGCCCGGCUCAACUGGGCGGGGUCGGCGGAUACGGCCGAGCUGGAGCAAGCUAGGGGGUAAUGGAAUUCCCGGUGUAGUGGUGGAAUGCGUAGAUAUCGGGAGGAACACCAGUGGCGAAGGCGGUUACCUGGAGCUUUGCUGACGCUGAUGCGCGAAAGCGUGGGGAGCGAUCCGG
rnacentral:rRNA from 1 species